rnacentral:rRNA from 1 species
AUGGCUGGUCUACAGGGUUUUGCAUCAGAUGAAGGGGCGGACCGGCACGGGUUGAGUGAUAUUGGAGGGUCGUUUUCUGUGGGUGGCGUGUCGUUACUCGCACAUGGAACUGGCUUGUUUGCUGAUUUUAGUAUGCUUCAGAAGCUCCGCACAGAGCAGGGAUUUCAAGAAUAUUUGAAAUUCCGUGAGCAUGCAUUCAAGCUCGCAGCAGAAGAACUGGUUGCUGCAUGCAAUUCGCCUGUUGAUUUGUUUGUCCAGACCGAGUGUGAUGAGAGGCUUUUUCAAGAGCACUUCCUCAAGUUCGUGACUUUACGUGAACAGUAUUCUGUGGUUGUUGAUGAUGUUGAUGGAAGUAAAGAAAGUUUGGUUGAUGAUGGAUCACCACGCCGUGUCUUGAAUGAGGAUGAGUUCAAUCACAUCCAGCGUAAGAAUGACAAAGAUAUACUUCUAAACACAUUGCAUGGUGUUCGAAGAUAUUAUGCGUACCGCAAAGCCCUUCUGCAACUUGACUUUAUCAAGUGGAAUAGUAACCCCGAGGAAGUUUUAGAACGGAUUAAAGAGUCAACUAGAUGGUUUGAUGAGCUGGAUGAUUAUGAGCUACAACUUGGUUUAAAGGGUCAUAUGGAACUUUUAAAGAGAUAUGUGAGUGAAUUGGACACAACUUCCACAAGCAGCAGCAUGCCUGAGUUUGAAAGUGUAGCUUUGGAGGAGAUCAACUCUCGUAUGAGUUCAGAAUUAGAAAAGCAUCUACAUCUCCGUGACCAGUGGCUUAUGCAAGAAUACUUCAAUCGUGUGAAAAUAAGGAACUUUGCCAGAGUGUGUUAUAAUGAAUCAGAAAAGACUGGAGUCAUUCUUGUUGAAGAGUUUCUACCCGUACGACAAUUGCAAGAACAGAUGUUACCCAAAAGCUUGCCCCAGAUUUUGGGAGAACAGCUGUUACCCAGAAAUUUGCCCCAGAUGAAACAGAGAGUUAAGCAGUCACUUGAGUCAGCCAUGGGUUACCUGCAUCGACAGCGUGCUCCUCGUCCAAGGGUAUUUAAUCUGGCAUGUGCAAUUACUCUUCUAUCAACAACAUGCAUGGCCAACGAGAGUAAGACUGUCAACUGA